AAGUGGUUGGCGCAGCUGUUGUCCUGGCGGUGGUGGGCGGGACUAACUUACUCCAUUCUGGUUGUUGUUGUUCAGUUGUUGAUGUCGAGUUCAAGGUGCUGCUGGACUUUGUGCUCAUUGUCGCCGAGAUGGCCGACGUGGUCCCGGCAGAUGUUGUUUUGCCAAUUUGCUGCUCAGAGUUGGCUUGCGGUUGUUGUCGUUGAUGUGUUCGGCGGCUUUGUCGUGGCAGGGUUAAGUGGACGACGUUCUUAAAGGAGGUACUGCUGGAGGGUUUGGUGGUUGUCUUCGAGGUGAAGGGCUUGGUGGGCGUUGUCUUGGAUGAUGUUGUGGUAGUUGGUUUAGCGGUUGUUGUCUUGAUAGUUGU